CACGAAUCAACUUCAGCA
rnacentral:snRNA from 1 species